rnacentral:rRNA from 1 species
UGGGGAAUAUUGCACAAUGGGGGAAGCCCUGAUGCAGCGACGCCGCGUGGAGGAAGAAGGUCUUCGGAUUGUAAACUCCUGUUGUUGAGGAAGAUAAUGACGGUACUCAACAAGGAAGUGACGGCUAACUACGUGCCAGCAGCCGCGGUAAAACGUAGGUCACAAGCGUUGUCCGGAAUUACUGGGUGUAAAGGGAGCGCAGGCGGGAAGACAAGUUGGAAGUGAAAUCUAUGGGCUCAACCCAUAAACUGCUUUCAAAACUGUUUUUCUUGAGUAGUGCAGAGGUAGGCGGAAUUCCCGGUGUAGCGGUGGAAUGCGUAGAUAUCGGGAGGAACACCAGUGGCGAAGGCGGCCUACUGGGCACCAACUGACGCUGAGGCUCGAAAGUGUGGGUAGCAAACAGGAUUAGAUACCCUGGUAGUCCACACCGUAAACGAUGAUUACUAGGUGUUGGAGGAUUGACCCCUUCAGUGCCGCAGUUAACACAAUAAGUAAUCCACCUGGGGAGUACGACCGCAAGGUUGAAACUCAAAGGAAUUGACGGGGGCCCGCACAAGCAGUGGAGUAUGUGGUUUAAUUCGACGCAACGCGAAGAACCUUACCAAGUCUUGACAUCCUGCGACGAUGCUAGAAAUAGUAUUUUCCUUCGGGACGCAGAGACAGGUGGUGCAUGGUUGUCGUCAGCUCGUGUCGUGAGAUGUUGGGUUAAGUCCCGCAACGAGCGCAACCCUUAUGGUCAGUUACUACGCAAGAGGACUCUGGCCAGACUGCCGUUGACAAAACGGAGGAAGGUGGGGAUGACGUCAAAUCAUCAUGCCCUUUAUGACUUGGGCUACACACGUACUACAAUGGCGUUAAACAAAGAGAAGCAAGACCGCGAGGUGGAGCAAAACUCAGAAACAACGUCCCAGUUCGGACUGCAGGCUGCAACUCGCCUGCACGAAGUCGGAAUUGCUAGUAAUCGUGGAUCAGCAUGCCACGGUGAAUACGUUCCC